GUUCAUGUUUUGCAAAUCCAACUAUCUAUGCUUGGCAAGGAGAGAGCUGGGAAACAAGGUUAAAAAUGAAUCCCAGUUCUCCAAACCCAUUCCAUGGAUAUUGAACAUGGGCUGUAGUAAAAAGUCUC